rnacentral:tRNA from 1 species
GGCUCGGUAGCUUAGUUUAUAAAGCGCUCGUCUAGCAUACAAGAGUCCUUGGUUUGAAUCCUAGCCGAGCAC